GUUUAAAUAGUUUAAUAAAAAUAUUGAUUUGUGGUGUCAAAGAUAUGGGAUUGUUCAUUUUAGACC
rnacentral:tRNA from 1 species